CUAGAUUACUGGAUGAUCGCUCGCCUUGGCGAGAGGAAAGUCCGGGCAAUAUAGGACAAGACAGUUGCUAACGGCAACCGGAAGUAAUUCUAGGGAAAGUGCCACAGAAACAAAACUACCCUGAUUUAUUGGGGAAAAGGUGAAACGAGUGAGGUAAGAGCUCACAGUCGACCGUGGUGACAUGGAAGAGAGGUAAACCCUGUCUAUUGCAAGGGGAUUGUCUACAACAGGUUGUCCGCCGUAGAUGAUUCGAUAUAUCCGCUUGAUUCAUUGAGUAAUCUUUGAACUAGAUAGAUGAUCAUCCCAGACAGAACCCGGCUUAUAGGUAGUCUAGUAUU
rnacentral:RNase_P_RNA from 1 species